GUCGGGAUAGCUCAGCUGUAGAGCAGAGGACUGAAAAUCCUC
rnacentral:tRNA from 1 species